rnacentral:rRNA from 1 species
GGAUUGGAAAUGGGCGCAGCCUGAUCCAGCCAUGCCGCGUGGGUGAUGAAGGCCUUAGGGUUGUAAAGCCCUUUCGGCGGGGAAGAUAAUGACGGUACCCGCAGAAGAAGCCCCGGCUAACUUCGUGCCAGCAGCCGCGGUAAUACGAAGGGGGCUAGCGUUGCUCGGAAUCACUGGGCGUAAAGCGCACGUAGGCGGAUUCUUAAGUCAGGGGUGAAAUCCCGGAGCUCAACUCCAGAACUGCCUUUGAUACUGAGAAUCUCGAGUUCGGGAGAGGUGAGUGGAACUGCGAGUGUAGAGGUGAAAUUCGUAGAUAUUCGCAAGAACACCAGUGGCGAAGGCGGCUCACUGGCCCGAUACUGACGCUGAGGUGCGAAAGCUAGGGGAGCAAACAGGAUUAGAUACCCUGGUAGUCCUAGCCCUAAACGAUGGAUGCUUGGUGUGUCGGGUACCCAAUCCCGACGUGCCGAAGCUAACGCGAUAAGCAUCCCGCCUGGGGAGUACGGUCGCAAGGCUGAAACUCAAAAGAAUUGACGA